GUAACCUGCCCUAGAGUGGGGGACAACAGUUGGAAACGACUGCUAAUACCGCAUAAGCCCACGGUACCGCAUGGUACUGAGGGAAAAGGAUUUAUUCGCUUUAGGAUGGACUCGCGUCCAAUUAGCUAGUUGGUGAGGUAACGGCCCACCAAGGCGACGAUUGGUAGCCGGACUGAGAGGUUGAACGGCCACAUUGGGACUGAGACACGGCCCAGACUCCUACGGGAGGCAGCAGUGGGGGAUAUUGCACAAUGGGGGGAACCCUGAUGCAGCGACGCCGCGUGGAGGAAGAAGGUUUUCGGAUUGUAAACUCCUGUCGUUAGGGACGAUAAUGACGGUACCUAACAAGAAAGCACCGGCUAACUACGUGCCAGCAGCCGCGGUAAAACGUAGGGUGCAAGCGUUGUCCGGAAUUACUGGGUGUAAAGGGAGCGCAGGCGG
rnacentral:rRNA from 1 species